UACGUAGGGGGCAAGCGUUAUCCGGAUUUACUGGGUGUAAAGGGAGCGUAGGCGGCGAUGCAAGUCAGAAGUGAAAGCCCGGGGCUCAACUCCGGGACUGCUUUUGAAACUGUGUUGCUAGAUUGCAGGAGAGGUAAGUGGAAUUCCUAGUGUAGCGGUGAAAUGCGUAGAUAUUAGGAGGAACACCAGUGGCGAAGGCGGCUUACUGGACUGUAAAUGACGCUGAGGCUCGAAAGUGUGGGGAGCAAACAGG
rnacentral:rRNA from 1 species